rnacentral:rRNA from 1 species
UACGUAGGGUGCAAGCGUUUGUCCGGAAUUAUUGGGCGUAAAGAGCUCGUAGGCGGUCUGUCACGUCGGCUGUGAAAAACCCGAGGCUUAACCUCGGGCCUGCAGUCGAUACGGGCAGACUAGAGUUCGGUAGGGGGAGACUGGAAUUCCUGGUGUAGCGGUGAAAUGCGCAGAUAUCAGGAGGAACACCGGUGGCGAAGGCGGGUCUCUGGGCCGAAACUGACGCUGAGGAGCGAAAGCGUGGGGAGCGAACAGG